GAGGGUGUAGCUCAAUGGUAGAGUGCUUGCUUAGCAUGCAUGAGGUCCUGGGUUCCACCCCCAGUACCUCCA
rnacentral:tRNA from 1 species